GACGAACGCUGGCGGCGUGCCUAAUACAUGCAAGUAGAACGCUGAAGGAGGAGCUUGCUUCUCUGGAUGAGUUGCGAACGGGUGAGUAACGCGUAGGUAACCUGCCUGGUAGCGGGGGAUAACUAUUGGAAACGAUAGCUAAUACCGCAUAAGAGUAGAUGUUGCAUGACAUUUGCUUAAAAGGUGCAAUUGCAUCACUACCAGAUGGACCUGCGUUGUAUUAGCUAGUUGGUGAGGUAACGGCUCACCAAGGCAACGAUACAUAGCCGACCUGAGAGGGUGAUCGGCCACACUGGGACUGAGACACGGCCCAGACUCCUACGGGAGGCAGCAGUAGGGAAUCUUCGGCAAUGGACGGAAGUCUGACCGAGCAACGCCGCGUGAGUGAAGAAGGUUUUCGGAUCGUAAAGCUCUGUUGUAAGAGAAGAACGAGUGUGAGAGUGGAAAGUUCACGG
rnacentral:rRNA from 1 species